UCUGAGUUAUAAAAAAGAGCAGAAUAGACACAGAGACACAUAGUGAGAAGACAGAUUCCAUGUGAGGAUUGUCUACAGGCAAAGGAAUCCAUGGGAACUCCUGGGAUACUGACAAAAAAGGACCUCCCCCUAGAGCUCUUGAAUUCAGGCCUCUAGUAGCCUGAAUUAUGAGAAAAUCAACUUCUGUUCUUUAAAGCCACCCACUUUUGGUAUUUUGUGUUACAGCAGCACUAGGUAACUAGAACAUAGCAUAUGUACAUUGCCAGAUUUUCAAUUCAUGUGACAAUUGACCACUUCAUUUUUAUGUUUGGCAGAAUUUUCUCUUAAAUUAUAGCCUGAGAAAGAGAAGGAGAACCUUAUGUAAUAGACAUAGUUAGUGGAGAAUUAUAACUUGCCAAAACCUCUAGAGAUAGCAACAGUCUUGGAAAUGGCAAUAAACUCUGCAGUGACCAUUACUGUAGGAUGGAUCAGUAUUCUAGAGAGAAGAGUAAUUAGAGAGAGAAAGAUAUAGAUAGAGAGAGGGAGGGAGGCGACACAUGAUAUGCAGAUAUGUACAAGCUCAAACAUAUUUUUUUUAUUUAAAGAUGACAGGAAUAUCUCUGAAGUUAGGCAACAGAACUUCAAGAUUUUCUUUUUUUCUAAACUGAAGACUUUCUUUUUUAAAGUUUACAUUGAGUGAUAACAUAAUUAGUAUAGUUGGAAAAUGCCAAAUGAAAAUCCUAACACAUGCUGUAUAUGAAUGUCUUCUCGGGGAAUUCUUGUGGAUGAUUUUUUCUUGUCAAGAGUGUAUGUCACUGAAUUGUACAUAAAGAAAGAAGACUAUCAGACUGGUGGUACCAAAGAUAAUCAAAAUAUGCUCGAUGGUGCUUAAGAAUUGCAGAGAAAGGAAGAGCUUUAUGUUAAAAAAAAAACACACACACACGAGCUAAUCGUAAAGAAAGUGCUAUAUUGCUUCCUACAAAUGUUCCUUCUAAUGCAGUACAUUAUUUUACAGGUCACCCUUAAUCAAAAGUCACUUUUGGUAAGGUAUAGAUAGGUAUGAUAGACAAAUGGCUUAAUCUAGUGGACUCUUGAUUAUUUGUAUAACUUUUUGUCAGCAAUAAAUAGCAAAAUUCUUAAAAUAUCUAUUAUGGCAUGUUGCAGAAAGCUCCAGAGUAAGCCAGGGAAAUCGAGACCAGGAGAAAACAAACUUGUUCUUUUUCUUCCCAACCAGAUCAGAAUAGGCACUGACCACAAGCAAUUAAAAGAGACACUAUGUUAGGGGUGCAGUGUGCCAAGAAUAGAGCAGUGGUACCCACUGUCUAUUAUCCCUAAUGACCAUCCUUGGUUUCAAUGCACGACACUCUCAUAGCAUGGUCCUCUGUCUCAAGGUGGCUGUAGCUGGUGAUGGCUUUACUAGCUGUGACUCCCCUUGGACCAUGGUAAGAAAGAAGCAAUAAAUCAAAUCACUUCCAAUCCUGCACUUGAAGCAUGAAGCUUCAGUUGCUUUUUUCUAACUAUUUUUCAAAAGAGUAAGAUUACACUGUAGGGAUACCACUUUAUGACCAAGAUAAAGAGACAAGUAAAGUAAAUCUGUUGCCAUCAAGUCAUUUCUACUCAUGGUGACUCCAUGUAACUCAGAGCAGAACUGUGCUUCAUGGGUUUUCAAUGGCUGAUUUUUCAGAAGUAGAUCACCAGGCCUUUCUUCAGAGGCAACUCUGGGUGAACUCGAACCACCAACCUUUUACUUAGUAGCUGAGCAUGUCAAUAGUUUGUACCAUUCAGGGACUCCUACAACCAAGAUAGGAGGAUUCAAUUUUUGUAUAUAGUUUUUAAUCCCCAAAUUUGCUCAUCAAAAAGUGUGGUCUGCUACUCAAAGAUUCAUCUCCCUGAAUAUUUUAUAUGACAAAUAGGGAGGAGAGACUACUUUUUAUUGGUUAUGUAACUCCUAAGUAGCAUUUGCUGGAAAUGAAGCCCUAAUUUUAUUUGUUGAAUCAUUUUUUUAUCUUGCUCAGUGAAACAAAGUAUAUUUAGCAAUACUAGGAAGUAAAACAUUUUUUGUUAUAAGUGGUUGCCAAUCAAUGUAAAGUUGUUACUUUGGGGUUUUUUGUUGUCACUGUAUUUUGUUUUUGUUUUGUUUUUAUCAAAUGCUUGUCAUCCAUAAUAACCUUACCUCAUCUCCAUCAGUGAGAUAAUAACAAACAAUAAUUUUUAAAAUUCCCAAUACUGAUGGCAAUUUGAAAUUUGUUAACAUCAUUAAAGGGAUUAAACCUAACCAUUCAAUGUUACAGUUUGAUUGUUUUAAUUUUAGCAAAAAUGUAGAAAUGUUAACCAAAACAUGCUAUAAUAUUUGUGGCUAGUUUUUGUUAGAAGUAAGCAAAAUCAUACAUAUUUUCAGCUUUUUUUGAAAAAUUGAUGGCAAAUAUUAGUCAAUAACCUUUGCUAGAUCAGUAUGGAGUUCGUGUCACAUUACUUUUCAAGUUUCUACGCUAACGUAAGGGGGCCAGGUUUUGGAAAUUUUGGCACUUUUACUUAGCAUCUCUAGAAGCCAAACCAGUCUCUUAAGUAUAACAGCACCUCUCUGUUAGCCUCCUGGAUUUGUUGAGCUAAUGUGCCAGCAGAUCUAUUCCUUAAGCUGUUACUUUUCCAUUUUUGAGGAGUAAUGUUCUUAGCCAACACUAAUGACUGGACUCUUCAUCCUCUAACUGCUAUAUCUAUAACACAGCCCCUCACUGGCAAAUUCUGCUUUUGGCAAUUGAAAACAUAAACAUAACAAAUAGCAUAAUGAUACACACAAAUCAAUUACAUUGAUUGGAGCUUGCAGUGUUGAUGCAUCAUUUAGCUUUGCAGACAGGUACCCUUGAUCAGAGUGUACAGCAGUUACCUUUGGCUCCCAGGGAACUUUUUGUUCGAGCACUGAACCUCCAGUACACUUUGGCAGUACAUCCAUUUUAAUAGUCAGUGGUGAUGCUUGGAUUUAAAGAGUGCUAAUGUUCUGUUGUAAUUUUCUCAGUAAUUUGAAAAGCACUUUGUGAUUUUUGCUUUUGAAAGGAGUAAAGAAAUAUAUCAGGGCCAUCACAAAUCUUUCAUAGCCUGAUACCAUUGCUCCCCCUACAAUCCACAGAUCUUUUAUUAAAUUCUACUAUGCCUCUGUGGGAAAUGUGAAUAGUCAUUGAAACUGAUUCUAUGCCAGGAUUUGAAAGCUGAUACACUGAAAAAUGUAGCCAGUAUCUGCACACCAAACUAGCUGGCAAUGGGAGAACUUAUAUGAGAAUAUGACACAUUUAAAUUUAGAAACAGAAUUAAAAAUAGUACCUGGGUUUUCAUUUCAAGGUCAUUCACAGACAUGGUCUCAAAGUCCUGUGAAAUUCCAUCCCACUUGGAUUCCAUUUCACUUGUGAGGUUUUUUAUCUUUUGGCCUGUUAAGACUUUUGUAGAUAUGCAAGAAAGGGAUCUAAUAUUUAUUAAGUAUCUACAACAUUCUUUAAAUUGUAAUAGAUGCUUUACUUUUAUCUAAUAAUAACAAUGAUAAGAAUAAUCUUAGCUUUUUUUUUGGACAGUUACUAGUGGCAAGACAGUGUGCUAAGUAAUUUUCAUUCCUAGCUAUACUUUUUCUCACUAGAAGCUUGGGAGUUUUGCAAAAGAAGAAAUUCAUGUGUACAGAGGUUAAGUAACUUGUCAAGAGUGACAGUCACUUUUAUUAAAUAGCAGAGCAAGAUUCGAACCUCAGUUUCAAAGCCCACAUUCUCAGCAGAAUUUCAAUGCAAGUUUCUGGAAUCAGACUGUGCUUUAGUGUCUUCUUUUGUGAAAUGCCAAUAAUAAUACCAAACCCAGAAGAGGGUUGUAAGAAUAGAAUUAGUGAACACACAUGAGAUUUUUAUGGUAGUGCCUAGCACAUGAUAAGCAUUCGAGAAAUAUUAACUAUUAAUAUUUUUUGUUUAAUGAUAAAAAUCAUUAUAAGGUUGUUAUAUUCCAGAAUAUAGUCAUCUUUCUAUUAUAAUCUGACCUUAUUUUACUAAAUAAGCACUAAAAUAAAAUCAAUAUACAAAUAUUUUCCUUUUAUUCUAACUUUCCUAUACUUUAAAGUAGCAAAGUUUAAAAUACUUACGCAAAGUAUUAUUUUAUUUAAUAUUUCUGACAUCUAUGACCUUCUGUGUAAAAUCAGCAUAUUGCAGAUAAGGAUGUUUCCAAAGCAAUACCCACAAAAAAUUUUACUAUUUGAUCCUCAAGAUACUAUUGCAUUUUGAAAUUAUUCAUCAUCCUAAAGAAAAUACAAAAUUGAAUACAAGGUAUCAUGUGAAGCUAACUCGGUGCUGUUAGUUGUUCUCACACCCUGAGAUAAUAUUCAGAGGUUCAAACACUGGUGAAUUUCUGAAACUGUCCCUAAAAUCCUUUUCUUUCAUAUUCUUAAUGGGCUAGGGAAAUCAUUCUAGCAUUUGAGAUGUCAGUCUACUUCUUGAUUUAUUAUACAUUAUCAAGUAGCAACCAGCCAAGUGGCUUUUGGCAAGACAGCUGUCCUUAAAAUGGCUGAGUUUUCAACAACUGUCUUGAUGAAGCAUCUUUUGAGUCUGAGAUCCUUCUCGGUUUACAAUAGCAAUAACAGUAUGUACUUCUGUUUCCCAGUGGGGCAGUCUGCUUGCUAAUAGCUGACCACUCUGAGUGUUUUUGUAACUGGCAUCACUUAACCUCUCAAAAUAGCAAUUUCAUCCAAGCUUACAAUUAAUAGAAGGCUUUUGAAGUGCACUAAAACCUUAGCAAGGCAUCCCAGCAGGAGGUGGCCCUUAAGAAGGCUUCUUCUACUCUGCUAGCCCUGUUAAUAUUACUUUUAAGUCAUGGCUGCAUUUCAAACAGGUCGAUAUUUAAAUGAGUCAUUCUAUAAGUAACAGUUGCCUUUAAAAUAGGAACCAAAAAACCAAACCUGUUGCCAUCGAGUCGACUUUGACUCAUGGCAACCACAUAGGACAGAGUAGAACUGCCCCAUAGGGUUUCCAGGGAAUGGCUGGUGGAUUGAAACUGCCACCAUUUUGGAUAGCAGUCAAGUUCUUAGCCACUGCGCCACUAAGGUUGGUGCUACAACUGAGGCAAGGAAUCAUUAGUAAACCAAAAACACCAAGCCAGCUGCAGUUCAGUCAGUUCCGACUCAUGGCGACCCCACGCAUGCAGAGUAGAACUGCACUCCAUAGGGUUUUCAAGCCUGUGACCUUUCAAAAGUAGAGUGCCAGGAAAUUCCUUUGAGGCACCUUUGGAUGGAUUACAAACUGCCAGCCUUUCAGUUCAUAUAUCAAGUGCUUAACCGUUUGCACUGUCCAGGGACCCCUGGAAACAUUAGUGCUGUUCAGCCAAUAUUUCUUCUCUGGUUUUCCUUUUCUUGGCUUCGUUAGGCAAGUCCAUGUGACCAAUUCUAGCCAAUGGAGUCAUGAACAGAAGUGACGUGGGUUCUGGGCCCAGAACAUUUAAUUGCCAAAGUUAAGACCCUGUGGUGAGCUGUCUUUUCUGCUGCCAGAGUGACUGGCAGCAUUUCAAAUAGUGGCUGCUCCAUCCAUCUGCCAGGUCUCUGAGAGACUAUGAUGAACAGAGCCCUCAACUGAUCUACUCUGGACAUAUGCAGUGAGCAAAACAAUAAACACUUGUAUUAGGUACUGAGACUUUUAGGGCUCUUUGUCACCACAGUAUAACCAAGCCUAUCCUGACUGGGAGCCCUGGUGGUACAGUGGUUAAGAGCCUGGCUGCUAAUCAAAAGGUCAGCAGUUCAAAUCCACCAGCCAUUCCUUGGAAACGCUUUGGGGCAAUUCUACUCUGUCCUAUAGGGUCGCUAUGAGUAGGAAUUGACUCGAAGUCUACAGGCUGUUGUUUGGUUGUAUCCUGACUCAGGCACUCAGUAAGAAUUACAAAUAAAAAUUUGUGGCCAUUCAAAGAGCAAACUGGAAAAGGUAAGCUGCUUUUUGUUUUGUUUUGUUUUUAAAGUUAGGCUUAUAGUCUUUAAUGGCAUACUUCUACUCAUUGGCAAUAGGCCAUCAAUUUUCUUUCAUAGGAAGUUGGAUCCAUGAAUUAUGAUGUCAAUACUUGAGUAAUCACUAAGGAAAGCUCUCCCUAUGAAUGUUUGCAAUAUCUGAGCUUUAUUUUAAUUAUACUAUGAAUAUGUCAUAACUAAUAAAAUUUUCCUUAUUUAUGGUGAACCUGGUGGCCAGUGGUUAAGAAUUCAGCUGCUAAUCAGUUCAAAUCCACCAGCCACUCCUUGGAAACCAUGUGGGGUCGUUCUGCUCUGUCUUGUAGGGUCGCUGUGAGUUGGAGUCGACUCGAAAGAAACAGGUUUUUGUUUUGUUUUUUAAUAAUGAAGAACUAGAGUGACGUAUCUUGUAAAUCAAUUAAUAUUUAUAUUCUGUAGAUUUUCAUUUGUCACAGUAGCCUGUAUUUUAUAGAUUUAUUAUAUUCUCGUAAUAAAAAAAAUAAAACAUACUAAUUAGAGGGGAGUUAUUAUUCCUCUUGCAGUUUUCUAUCUCUGAUGGGUAAUAAGCUAUGGUUCUCUUCUUCCUUUGGUCAGGAAUGUACUUCCCUCACAUGUCUUCAUUUCCUAUAAUAACCUAUGAUGUACCAUUAACCUUGAUAUAUAUAAAUCUUUCAUGAAUUGUUUUGCAUUUUUACUAUGUAUUAACUCUUGAAGUCAAAUCACCUAUGUUUAAAACUCACUAUGAAAAAUAGUGUUAAAAAAAUGUUUCUCAAUUUCAUUUUCUAAACUUCUUCCAAAACUCCAAGCAGGAGAAUAGUCUCUGUUCAACCUAUUUAGACCUUCCAUAUUCUGAUAUGUUUCAGUCUUAUUACCUCUCUCCUUUAGGUUUUCCAGGCCUAAGAGCUCCAAUAUUUUUAGUCCAUUCUAUUAUGGCAUCACUCUCAAUCCUCUAUCAUUUUCAUUAUCCAUUUCAGGUACUUCUCCAAUUUUGUACUGUCACGUAUUAAAAAAGUUAACAAUAGCCAAGUUUCAGAAACUAUAGUUUGUAAUGAUGAAUGGUUAUAUUAUAUUCAGAAAAGAAUCUCAGAUUGUUCUAAAAGAAUUCAAGAUUAUAAAUUUUACAGUUUUAGAAGGCCUAUUGAUUUAGGCAGUAUUUUCAUAAUAACCUAAAAUACCACUUUCUGUCACAAAAUAUUUUUAAAGUGUUUAAUUGUUUUUUCUCAGCCAUGCAAUGACAUGCUAUUUUUGUCUGCAAAGUGGUAUACAAUCAAAUUUCCUGUAUUAAUGGGUUUCACAAAUUACUAUAACUCAUAGCAAGGCAAACACUAUGAAACAAACUAUCUCUUGGCUGUUAAGGAAUGAAAUCACACCAUCUUGGAUGACUCAACAUGAGACGUGUGAAAUUAAUUUAUUGAACAACUAAAAUUCGAAGUCAGGUACUGAAAUUUAGCUCUUUCAUGGAAGAGUAGACGAUUUCUUUCAGAAUAUGUGUCUGACUUUGAUUAAAAUUCUUCUGUUAUGCUGUACAGAUGAAAGAACAAACUAUUUUUGUUUUAAAUGAUACACUGGAUUCUGAAACUGAGCCCAGAAGAUUGGAUGUAGAUUUCAAAGAACAGUACACAUCUGUGCACUAAUGCAUGUUCUUAAAACUCCACACCACAAGGAAAAGAAUAUGCCACUCUGGUUGCCGAAUGAUGAAGAUCCAUGAAGCAGAUCUGUAACCAUCCCAAAACCUGAAGUCCAGUCUAGUCUCCUGAAGAGUCCAGCUGAGAUUGGCAGCUCUGUAGACAACCUACAGAUUAAUGAAACCCUGAUUUUGAUGAAGUUUGGAGGCAGCAUGCUCAGGUAAGGUGAGCCCCAUUCCCGCUCUACAGUAUGAAACAUGAAGCAUAUAGGUCAAUAAGGAUCAGGUCAUUCCAGUUUCACUAAGGAGUCAUUUGGAGUUUGUAUGUGACCAAGUUCUGGCCAAUGGGAACUGAGAAAUCUGUUGGGGGUCUCCAGGGAAAGGUUUCUUCCUGGUAAAAGACAUAUGCACUAGGGGAAAAUGUUUCAGCCACCUUUCCUUUCCUGCCUUUGGAUGUUGUCAUGAGGACUUAAUGCAUAAAGUUGCUGCAGCCGAGGAGGUGGGGAUGAGGGAGAUUGAUGGCAUGUAUAGCAUGUCAGAGCAGAAGGAUAGAGCUUGGGUACCUGAAGGCAUUGUUAGGCUGCUGAGCCAAUUCUUAGAUCUGUUUCUCUCUGGACUUCUUGCUGAAUGUCAUAAUAAAUGUCAUUAUUGUUUAAGCCACAUAUAGUAGGGCCUUCUGUUACUUACAGACAAAAGCAUUCCAACUGAUAAAAGAAGUUAAAAGAAUGCAGUUCACACCAGUGUGGUUGCUUCCCUAACAAGCAAAGGCGAGACAAAGAAAAGAAAGGGCAUUACUGGCUUACUAAUGAGGUUUUUGUAGAUCUGGUAGUUCAGAGCUUGAAAUGCAUUUUUCCCUUAGAAAUACUAUAAAUGGUAUCCAGGUUCCCCCAGGUUAGCCCAUGAAGCCUGUUUAGUCCAAUAAUGAUGCAAAAUCUGUACAGUCUAGUAGAACUGAAUCACCUUGAAAAACAAUGUUUCCUUUGGAACAAAAAUGAAUUCAGAAAAAAAAAAUAAUUUAGAGAUCCAACUUAGCAAAAUAGAAUAUCAUCACCUCAAUGGCAAUAAAAUUGAGGAUUUCCCUUCUCUCAAGGACUGGGCAGGGAGAACAGUUAUUUAUCCACAUCCCAAAAGGCAAUGGUUAUACCUGUUCAGCCAGAGAGGCCAAAGGCUAGGCAGUGAUACAGAAGCAGGAGAGAGGCUUGGCAAAAGGGAGGUUUACAUGUUUUCUACCCCUUCCCCUCCAUCUCCAAGAGUUUGCCUAAAUGCUUCAAUUUCUAUAGCACUAUCUGUUGUUUCCAUGAAGGAGCAAUGGUAGUCGAGUGGUAGAAUAAUUGCUCUCCACGUGGAGACUUGAGUUAAAUUCCCAGCCAGUGCAGCUCAUGUGCAGCCACCAUCUGUCUGUCAGUGGAAGCUUGCGUGUUGCUAUGAUGCUGAACAGGUUUCAGCAGAGCAUCCAGAAUAAG